CGGGUGGAAAUUUGGGAGGAUGGGAUGGGGCUCUGGGGUGCCGGGCGCCUCGUGCCAGCCUGGGACCGGGAAACUGGGGCAGCACGGAGGGGCUCCCGCAGCAUUCAAUUAAUUUCCAUCCUCACUUUGCUCGGCAGGAGGCUGUUCUGCUCCACGUGCAGGCAGCCCUGCGUGGCGGCUGCUCCCUUCUGCAGAUGGGAAAAUACAAUGUUCAAUCACUGGCAAAGCAAAGAUAAGAACUUGGAGCAGCUCCCUUCCAGCCCUUCCUCUCCCACUGACACAAUGGCCAGCAGAUGCAGGUUUUUCCUGCUGCUGGGCAGCUCUGCCCAGACCCCGGGAGGAGAAUUUCACAGCUUCCCCCUGGGAGCAGCUCACCAUGUCUCUCCCCUUUGACUCCCCGCAGAGGAGCAGCUCAGGGCAAUGCAUCAUUUCGCCUGAGGAGCCAUCCUGCCCUGUGCACCCUCAGUGCUCUCCUGGGGAGGUGAUGACAAGCUGUGCUGCCCGGUGCUCGCCCUGCCAAGGGGAGGACGGCUGGGCUGAGGAUACGCUUCAUCAUUGUCCUGAAGGGGUUCUGAGAUGAUCUGCAAGAGCACUGAGGGGUGUCCCCUCCUCCCGAGGAGCCUUUCUUCCUUCUCUGAGCACAGAUAUGGGUCUUGUGCCAUCCUCUCCUCAGGUCUGUGGAGACUUCUGCUUCCCCAACAGCUUCUUGCUCCUCUCCUGACUCAUAUUUGUUUGGAUUCCAGAACUGAAAUUGAUAUCCAAAAUACUACAGGAAAGAUCUUGUGCAUUCACUUGUGCUCCUGGGGACAAUUUCCCCCAACACCACUGUGGCCAAUUCUGCAUGCGUGCUGGGAAGUGAGCUCCUGGCAGUUGUCAGAUGCAGUGAAGAAACACUCAGCACUUCUACACUACAAUAUCAGAAGCCCCCAUGGCCUGGGACAGCAAUGCUGGGGACACCCCCAGCCCAGCCUUGAGAUUACUGCACAAAUGAUGGAGCUUGCAAAGCUCGAGGCUGACUUCUAUUUUCCAGUUCAGAAUCCUUGGCGCAGCGUUGAUCUCUGUUUCCAACUCUGUUGCCCACUGUCAGAAAGACCAGAAUGUGACAUCUCCAUCAUAAAGAAAAGCCCAAUUCUCUCCAGGUCCAACGGCUGAGCUUUCAAACAGCAGAAUGGCCACAUUGGGCUCCCAGGAAGGUGGGAUUCCAUGGGAAAUGCCAGAGUCAGUCCACCAUGAGAUAGAGCAUCCCUCCAGUCCAUGGCAUCCCCAGCAGCAGGAGACACCCGGGAAGAUCCCUGUGCACCUCGUGCCUCAGUUACCCCAUCUGGCAAAAGAGUUCAGUGAUGCAUUCUCUUGCAGCAUUUGGAAUUGAAAUCUGGGCAUUAAAUCUGGACAGCUUUUCCUCUUUACCGUCACACUUCCCAGGACGAUGGAGCAGCAGUUAGGAGCAGUGCAGUUAAGGACAUCCAGCCCCAGUGGCUGCUCUCAGCUGACCACAUCUGCAGAGUUUUCAGCCUCUCUCAUGGGUCUGGAGCGAAGGAAAGACCAUUCCAUUCUUUUCACAUUUCACAGUAACAAUCAAGCUGGAAGACAGCAGAGCUGCAGUGCAGAGAAAGCACAAAAACAUUUCUUGCAUUUCCUUAAAGCUCCUUGCCUCCCUGCCCGGCCCCAAGCGUGAGCAAGGCAAUGAGGUGAGAUGGGCCAGACCUGUCUGUCUGUCUGUCUGUCUGCAACCUCUCCAGAGCAGCAAAAUGCUCUGAGAGUCCCUGACCCGUGGCUGUGAGGGUCUCAUCCUCUCCCUCAGCCCCCCAUGGCACUCCCCAAACCCUCCAGCACUGCUGCAGCACCAGGAGCUGGGAAGGAGCUGAGAACAAAACUGCAUAGGAUCAAAAUGUUCCCCAAACCAGAGCUCUGGGACAUGGACAGUUUCAGAGCUGGGAUGCAAAGGGGAGGAGUGUGAGGCAAAUCCUGGCUGACCCCCACUGAGAGCCGUGCUCCAGACCACCCCGGAGAGCACGUUCUGGGGAUACUCAUUCCUCCUGCUGCAGGGAAGGAUGUCUCCCUCCUGCCCUUUGAUUCACUCGGUGUGUCCAAAGGUCCACAGAGCCAAAGGGUGCCCAGCUGAGAGAUGCUGGCCACCAGUGCAAGAAAUGCAGGGAGAGAACCCGUUCCUUAUGCAACCUGGAGAAAUCCAGCUUGGCUGCCUACUAGAGGCUUGUCCACCCCUAUGGACUUAUCCAUCCCCAAGGGCUUGCCCAUCUCUAUGGGCUUUCCCAUCCCUAUGGACUCCCCCAGUCCUAUGGGCCUGUCCACCCCCAUGCCAGCCCUUUGCCUCUCUCUCCUCCUUGCCCCACUCCCCCGUAUCUGGCAGAGCCCGUCUGAGGGACGGCGGUGAUUUAUUUCGGAACAUUUCUUGCCUGUUGAAAGCCUGACCUCAGAUAUGGAGAGACGACACCGGGAAGAUGUACGAGUGUCUCUCAGCAAAAGUGCAUCAGAGAAAUUGAGCGUGAGCUGCCAUCAAUCUGCCCGGGCACAGCAGCCCCGUGCAGCAGCGAGGGGACCGUGGGCUGGGAGGGAUUCGGCGAAGGUCACCUGGGAGCUGACUCAGCCUCCACUCCUCGCUCCCGCCAUCCAUCAUGCCCGCUGGGGAGGAGGCAGGGAGCAGAGGCUGGAGGCAAUCUCCUCCACAUCCCUCAUCCAUUCCCCUUUACAGCUUCAUUUAGGAGACUGGAAAGACACGCCGGCACUAAUGUCAGUGGGGGCACGGCUGGUGAUAAUCGCUCGGCGGCGGUAAUGAGCACUGCUGGGCUCCCCUGAGAGAUGCACUGCCUGGACAGGCCCCCUGCCCAGGGACCUGAAGGCUGGGAUGAGGACAAGAUGGAUAGGGAUGUAGGGCAGAGGGGACGGGAGGGCUUUUCCCUCCUUUGGACAACCUGCAGAUUCUGCCCCUCAAAACUGUGAGGACUUAUGACUUGGCACACACUGACUCCUUCACUGAGAGCUGAAUGCUAUUUGAAUACUGGGAAGCAAGAAGAGGAAUAAGCUCAUCUACAGGCAGUGAGAUGGCUCGGCUCUGUCCAAAGAGCUACUCCAGCAGCAGUGAGGGUUGUCUCACGCCUGGCCAGUCGCUCAGAGCUAAAACAGAGCAACCCAAGUCUGCAAGCAAAGCUUUGGUCUCCCUGGCUGUCCUCUGGCUGUGGUAAGCAGCACACAUUGCUCUGCAUCCCAUCCCAGGGCACUGAUGCACAGCACUCCACCGAUUCCCCCUCUGGAUGGCACUACCAUACAUUGCAGUUUGACACCUUCCAUCUGCCCGCCCCGCUGCCCAGCAGCUCCGCUCAGCUGCCCGCUCUCCUGCUCCAUGUACCUGCACUGAUUUACGAGGGUGGCUCCAGCACAGCUGCUCUGAAUACACAAGCAGGGAAACGGCGCUCAGUCCGAGGUGGAUGCCAAUAAGCAUUCCUAGAUUUUGGCUUUUUGUGAAGAGUAUCUCCUGAUGCUUGCAAAUGGAUGUUAGGAACAGCUUCACCUUCCUUCAUUUCUAGAACUAAGCAAAGAAUCUGUAGGAAAGGCCAUGCAAUGCUCCGUGCUCGCACCAGCAAAGCCCAUGCAAUGCUCCAGAACACCGAAGAGCUCUCCCAGUGCUGCGCUCCCAUGAGCUGCAGUUCCUCACCGCCUGGCAUGACCUCUGGCCUCUGCAUGGUACCCCAAUUCACAGCAGCACACGUGCAAAGAGAGCAGCAGGGACCUCAGCACCAAGGGGACCAGCAGUCCGAUCUCUCACUUGAUUUCUUGAUCUUCCAGUCAAACUGAGAAAGGAACUGAGAAUUGCAGUGGGUACAGCAAACGGGCUGACCAAACACUUAUUUUGCUCUGGGCAGGUAGGCUCAUCUACCUGUCCUUUGUAUUAAGUGGGAAUGAUUUUGAAUAGAAAACGUUAGGAUUCAAAAUGGGAAUUCAAAGCCUCCUUGGGAGCCUGCUGGAGGGAACUGAGGAAUUCAGUGGGAGCAGGAGGGACCAACGGGACAGGAAGGGACAGCCCUGGAUGGAAGGUCACACAAAGACACGGGUUGUCCCUACACCUGGUUCAGAGUUGUGGAUGCAUCUUCUUCCUUCCAUCAGAUUUCCAAUCCAGAAGCAAAGCCAAGCGUUCUCUCUACGGGCAACGGAGAACCAUCAGGACCUCCAAAACCCAUCCCAUGAGCUGGGGCGCACUCUGGAGGCUCCUACUGAUCUCCAUGGGCUGGAAAUGGAGAGCAGAGUGUUGGCACCCACCAGGUCCUGGGGCCCUGGGGACGGCCCUGCUCCGAGCGCAGUGGGGCUCUCCGCAGCCUGGCGGGCUGUGAGCAGAUUGAGCUGUUUGUUUUGCCUUGUCUGUCUCUUUAUACAUCCCCAAGUCCCCAGUGACUCUGACAGCAGCUUCCAGCACCGAAGGCAUCCUUGUUUUCAUAUAUCUGUUAAAUAAAAUGUCAGCAGGUGACAACACAUGCUUCGUUGGUGCUGUUCCGUAAUUUAACGGUUAAGAAUGGAUCAGAGCCCGAUCCCACAUCUCCACGUAGAACUCACUUCCAAUCUUGGCACCAUGCCGUAUGCGCUCACUGCACUGCGCCGUUGGUUCCGCACUGGUUGCCCCCAUGUCCCACGAGCUGCUGCAGGAUCACACUGGUUCAGGUGCACCCUUCCCAGCACAGAUGGGUUGGUUGGGCACAGCUCCCUUUCUAGCAGCACUGUCUCCCACUAAAUAUGACCCCAGGAAAGCAAGAACGAACAAGAGCUGGAGGCUUUCUCCAAUCCCCUUUUCCCAAAGGCUUGUUUUCCCUUUUCACCAAGCCCAGAUAUAUUUUUGGCACCCGCCAUCGCUCCCUUCUCAGUGGCACUGUUUAUUUGAGACCAGUCCAGCACAAUCUGG
ensembl:lncRNA